rnacentral:rRNA from 1 species
GACGAACGCUGGCGGCGUGCCUAAUACAUGCAAGUCGAACGCUUCUUUCCUCCCGAGUGCUUGCACUCAAUUGGAAAGAGGAGUGGCGGACGGGUGAGUAACACGUGGGUAACCUACCCAUCAGAGGGGGAUAACACUUGGAAACAGGUGCUAAUACCGCAUAACAGUUUAUGCCGCAUGGCAUAAGAGUGAAAGGCGCUUUCGGGUGUCGCUGAUGGAUGGACCCGCGGUGCAUUAGCUAGUUGGUGAGGUAACGGCUCACCAAGGCCACGAUGCAUACCCGACCUGAGAGGGUGAUCGGCCACACUGGGACUGAGACACGGCCCAGACUCCUACGGGAGGCAGCAGUAGGGAAUCUUCGGCAAUGGACGAAAGUCUGACCGAGCAACGCCGCGUGAGUGAAGAAGGUUUUCGGAUCGUAAAACUCUGUUGUUAGAGAAGAACAAGGACGUUAGUAACUGAACGUCCCCUGACGGUAUCUAACCAGAAAGCCACGGCUAACUACGUG